rnacentral:tRNA from 1 species
GCUUUUUUAGUUUAAGUAGAAUAUAGAUUUUGUAAAUCUAGGGUUAAAAAAGUA